rnacentral:rRNA from 1 species
AUGAACGCUGGCGGCGUGCCUAAUACAUGCAAGUCGAACGCUUCACAUAUGUGAAGAGUGGCGAACGGGUGAGUAAUACAUAAGUAACCUGGCCUUUACAGGGGGAUAACUAUUGGAAACGAUAGCUAAGACCGCAUAGGUGUCAUAACCGCAUGGAGAUGACAUGAAAUAUGCUGCGGCAUAGGUAGAGGAUGGACUUAUGGCGCAUUAGCUAGUUGGAGGGGUAACGGCCCACCAAGGCGACGAUGCGUAGCCGACCUGAGAGGGUGACCGGCCACACUGGGACUGAGACACGGCCCAGACUCCUACGGGAGGCAGCAGUAGGGAAUUUUCGGCAAUGGGGGAAACCCUGACCGAGCAACGCCGCGUGAAGGAAGAAGUAAUUCGUUAUGUAAACUUCUGUCAUAGAGGAAGAACGGUGCGUGUAGGGAAUGACAUGCAAGUGACGGUACUCUAUAAGAAAGCCACGGCUAACUACGUGCCAGCAGCCGCGGUAAUACGUAGGUGGCGAGCGUUAUCCGGAAUUAUUGGGCGUAAAGAGGGAGCAGGCGGCACUAAGGGUCUGUGGUGAAAGAUCGAAGCUUAACUUCGGUAAGCCAUGGAAACUGUAGAGCUAGAGUGUGUGAGAGGAUCGUGGAAUUCCAUGUGUAGCGGUGAAAUGCGUAGAUAUAUGGAGGAACACCAGUGGCGAAGGCGACGAUCUGGCGCAUAACUGACGCUCAGUCCCGAAAGCGUGGGGAGCAAAUAGGAUUAGAUACCCUAGUAGUCCACGCCGUAAACGAUGAGUACUAAGUGUUGGGAGUCAAAUCUCAGUGCUGCAGUUAACGCAAUAAGUACUCCGCCUGAGUAGUACGUUCGCAAGAAUGAAACUCAAAGGAAUUGACGGGGGCCCGCACAAGCGGUGGAGCAUGUGGUUUAAUUCGAAGCAACGCGAAGAACCUUACCAGGUCUUGACAUCGAUCUAAAGGCUCCAGAGAUGGAGAGAUAGUUAUAGAGAAGACAGGUGGUGCAUGGUUGUCGUCAGCUCGUGUCGUGAGAUGUUGGGUUAAGUCCCGCAACGAGCGCAACCCUUGUGAUUAGUUGCUACGCAAGAGCACUCUAAUCAGACUGCCGUUGACAAAACGGAGGAAGGUGGGGACGACGUCAAAUCAUCAUGCCCCUUAUGACCUGGGCUACACACGUGCUACAAUGGACAGAGCAGAGGGAAGCGAAGCCGCGAGGUGGAGCGAAACCCAGAAAACUGUUCUCAGUUCGGACUGCAGUCUGCAACUCGACUGCACGAAGUUGGAAUCGCUAGUAAUCGCGAAUCAGCAUGUCGCGGUGAAUACGUUCUCGGGCCUUGUACACACCGCCCGUCACACCAUGAGAGUCGGUAACACCCGAAGCCGGUGGCCUAACCGCAAGGAAGGAGCUGUCUAAGGUGGGACUGAUGAUUGGGGUG